UACGGGGGGGGCAAGCGUUGUUCGGAAUUACUGGGCGUAAAGGGCUCGUAGGCGGCCAACUAAGUCGGAUGUGAAAUCCCCAGGCUUAACCUGGGAACUGCAUCCGAUACUGGAUGGCUUGAAUCCGGGAGAGGGAUGCAGAAUUCCAGGUGUAGCGGUGAAAUGCGUAGAUAUCUGGAGGAAUACCGGUGGCGAAGGCGGCAUCCUGGACCGGCAUUGACGCUCAUGUGCGAAAGCGUGGGGAGCAAACAGG
rnacentral:rRNA from 1 species